rnacentral:piRNA from 1 species
UUUGUGAAUAAAAGAAACAAAUGC